GGAAAUCACUGGGUUCCAGUCAAAGAAGACAAGAACCAAUGGAUUCAAAUUGGUUUCCAAAGUCAUGAAACGACAUGUGAACUCAUUUCCACAAAACACUCUCGAUUUCCUAAGUGGGCAACUACUACAAUAAAAGUUCCGUGGAAAGGUUACAUAUACUGCUGCAGUGUUGCUGCCUGAAAAAGUGAUUCUCAUUUCUUGGCACUAAAAAAUUUUUAUGAUGUUUUUUUUCCCAUAAGUAUACUGAAAUUGAUAGACAGUAAACGUAGAACUCAUUAUAGUAUAGCAUGAUCAUUUAUCGUACAGUAAUCAUCGAAUUUUUCCAAACAUGUGCUGUAUUUGUGUUUAUAAUAUUAAAACUUGAGCUGGUUAACUAUAAGUUUUAACCAAUUUCAGAUGAAUGUUCUCGUCGUAAACCAUAAAAA